rnacentral:rRNA from 1 species
GAUGAACGCUGGCGGCGCGCCUAACACAUGCAAGUCGAACGAUUAAAGCACCUUCGGGUGUGUAUAAAGUGGCGAACGGCUGAGUAACACGUGGGCAACCUGCCCCUUUCAUUGGGAUAGCCACGGGAAACCGUGGAUAAUACCGAAUACUUCGAGACUUCCGCAUGGAAGACUCGAGAAAGCUCCGGCGGAGAGGGAUGGGCCCGCGGCCUGUUAGCUUGUUGGUGGGGUAACGGCCUACCAAGGCAAUGAUGGGUAGCUGGGUUGAGAGACCGACCAGCCAGAUUGGGACUGAGACACGGCCCAGCCUCCUACGGGAGGCAGCAGUGGGGAAUCUUGCACAAUGGGCGAAAGCCUGAUGCAGCGACGCCGCGUGCGGGAUGAAGGCCUUCGGGUUGUAAACCGCUUUCAGCAGGGACGAGGCGAAAGUGACGGUACCUGCAGAAGAAGCCCCGGCUAACUACGUG